rnacentral:rRNA from 1 species
UCGAACGGCAGCACGGGAGCAAUCCUGGUGGCGAGUGGCGAACGGGUGAGUAAUAUAUCGGAGCGUGCCCAGUCGUGGGGGAUAACGCAGCGAAAGCUGUGCUAAUACCGCAUACGAUCUCUGGAUGAAAGCGGGGGACUCGUAAGAGCCUCGCGCGAUUGGAGCGGCCGAUAUCAGAUUAGCUAGUUGGUGGGGUAAAGGCCCACCAAGGCGACGAUCUGUAGCUGGUCUGAGAGGACGACCAGCCACACUGGAACUGAGACACGGUCCAGACCCCUACGGGAGGCAGCAGUGGGGAAUUUUGGACAAUGGGCGCAAGCCUGAUCCAGCAAUGCCGCGUGCAGGAUGAAGGCCUUCGGGUUGUAAACUGCUUUUGUACGGAACGAAAAGGUCUGCCUUAAUACGGUGGGCCCAUGACGGUACCGUAAGAAUAAGCACCGGCUAACUACGUGCCAGCAGCCGCGGUAAUACGUAGGGUGCGAGCGUUAAUCGGAAUUACUGGGCGUAAAGCGUGCGCAGGCGGUUAUAUAAGACAGAUGUGAAAUCCCCGGGCUCAACCUGGGACCUGCAUUUGUGACUGUAUAGCUAGAGUACGGUAGAGGGGGAUGGAAUUCCGCGUGUAGCAGUGAAAUGCGUAUAUAUGCGGAGGAACACCGAUGGCGAAGGCAAUCCCCUGGACCUGUACUGACGCUCGUGCACGAAAGCGUGU